rnacentral:rRNA from 13 species
GUUUACGACCAUAUCACGUUGAAUAUACCGGUUCUCGUCCGAUCACCGAAGUCAAGCAGCGUCGAGCCUAGUNAGUACUUGGAUGGGUGACCGCCUGGGAAUACUAGGUGCCGUAGACU